UGCGAGCGAACAGGGAAGAGCCCAGCACCGAAUCCCGCGGCCGAUAUCGGACGCCGGGAAAUGUGGUGUUAGGGAGGAUCCGUUUAUCCCGAGGUCGUGCGGUGCGUCCAAGUCCUUCUUGAACGGGGCCACAGCCCAUAGAGGGUGCCAGGCCCGUAGCGACCGCUGCCGAUCGCGGGAGGAUCUCUCCUCAGAGUCGGGUUGCUUGAGAGUGCAGCCCUAAGUGGGUGGUAAACUCCAUCUAAGGCUAAAUAUGACCACGAGACCGAUAGCGAACAAGUACCGUGAGGGAAAGUUGAAAAGCACUUUGAAGAGAGAGUUCAAGAGUACGUGAAACCGUUCAGGGGUAAACCUGAGAAGCCCGAAAGGUCGAAUGGGGAAAUUCAUUCGCGUUUCGGCCGUCGGCGUGGGAUGGUCGAGUGACGGACGGCGUACGCGUCGUCCGCGCCUUCCGUUCUUCGAACCGGCGUCGAACGCGUGCACUUUUCCCCUAGUAGGACGUCGCGAUCCGUUGGGUGUCGGUCUACGGCUCGCGGUGGAGCCCGUGCGGUCGCUUUACGGCGUAUCGCACGGACCCGCGGUGUCCCGGCCGACUCGCUCGACGGUAUACAGAUGGCGCGGGGCCGCUACUACAGUUAGCGUUCGGC
rnacentral:rRNA from 1 species